UGGGGAAUAUUGCGCAAUGGGGGAAACCCUGACGCAGCAACGCCGCGUGGGUGAAGAAGGCCUUCGGGUUGUAAAGCCCUUUCGGCCGGGAAGAAGGGUGAAUGGGCUAAUACCCUGUUCAUUUGAUGGUACCGGAGGAAGAAGCACCGGCUAACUUCGUGCCAGCAGCCGCGGUAAUACGAAGGGUGCGAGCGUUGUUCGGAAUUAUUGGGCGUAAAGGGUUCGUAGGCGGGAGAGCGAGUUGAGUGUGAAAACCCUGGGCUUAACCUGGGACGUGCAUUCAAGACUGUUUUUCUUGAGUAUGGGAGAGGGUGGUGGAAUUGCUGGUGUAGGAGUGACAUCCGUAGAGAUCAGCAGGAACGCCGGAGGCGAAAGCGACCACCUGGCCCGUAACUGACGCUGAGGAACGAAAGCGUGGGGAGCAAACAGG
rnacentral:rRNA from 1 species